AGUGAACGCUGGCGGUAGGCCUAACACAUGCAAGUCGAACGGCAGCACAGUAAGAGCUUGCUCUUACGGGUGGCGAGUGGCGGACGGGUGAGGAAUACAUCGGAAUCUACUUUUUCGUGGGGGAUAACGUAGGGAAACUUACGCUAAUACCGCAUACGACCUACGGGUGAAAGCAGGGGAUCUUCGGACCUUGCGCGAUUGAAUGAGCCGAUGUCGGAUUAGCUAGUUGGCGGGGUAAAGGCCCACCAAGGCGACGAUCCGUAGCUGGUCUGAGAGGAUGAUCAGCCACACUGUAACUGAGACACGGUCCAGACUCCUACGGGAGGCAGCAGUGGGGAAUAUUAGACAAUGCGCGCGAGCCUGAUCCAGCCAUACCGCGUGGGUGAAGAAGGCCUUCGGGUUGUAAAGCCCUUUUGUUGGGAAAGAAAAGCAGCAGGUUAAUACCCCGCUGUUCUGACGGUACCCAAAGAAUAAGCACCGGCUAACUUCGUG
rnacentral:rRNA from 1 species